UACGGAGGGAGCUAGCGUUGUUCGGAAUUACUGGGCGUAAAGCGCACUAGGCGGCUUUGUAAGUUAGAGGUGAAAGCCCGGAGCUCAACUCCGGAAUUGCCUUUAAGACUGCAUCGCUUGAAUCCAGGAGAGGUGAGUGGAAUUCCGAGUGUAGAGGUGAAAUUCGUAGAUAUUCGGAAGAACACCAGUGGCGAAGGCGGCUCACUGGACUGGUAUUGACGCUGAGGUGCGAAAAGCGUGGGGAGCAAACAGG
rnacentral:rRNA from 1 species